UACGUAGGGUGCGAGCGUUGUCCGGAAUUACUGGGCGUAAAGAGCUCGUAGGUGGUUUGUCGCGUUGUCCGUGAAAACUCACAGCUCAACUGUGGGCGUGCGGGCGAUACGGGCGAGACUGGAGUACUGCAGGGGAGACUGGAAGUUCCUGGUGUAGCGGUGGAAUGCGCAGAUAUCAGGAGGAACACCGGUGGCGAAGGCGGGUCUCUGGGCAGUAACUGACGCUGAGGAGCGAAAGCGUGGGGAGCGAACAGG
rnacentral:rRNA from 1 species